rnacentral:rRNA from 1 species
GUACACGCUGUGACUAGCAUAUCAAUAAGCGGAGGAAAAGAAACUAACAAGGAUUCCCUUAGUAACGGCGAGUGAAGCGGGAAGAGCUCAAAUUUGAAAUCUUCAAGGUUUUACCUUGACGAAUUGUAGUUUAAAGAAGUGUUUUCUGCUGAAGUUUAGGUAAAAGUUCUUUGGAAUAGGACAUCAUAGAGGGUGAGAAUCCCGUAUUUGACCAUUAUUUUCAGCUUUGUGAUACACUUUCAAAGAGUCGGAUUGUUUGGGAAUGCAGUCCAAAAUGGGUGGUAAAUUUCAUCUAAAGCUAAAUAUUGGCGAGAGACCGAUAGCGAACAAGUACCGUGAGGGAAAGAUGAAAAGAACUUUGAAAAGAGAGUUAAACAGUACGUGAAAUUGUCAAAAGGGAAGCGUUUGACACCAGUGUUGUUUUCUCGAAAAUCAAUUAAAAAUGGCUCGAUUUUGUAUUGCUUGAGACCUUAAAAGCUCACCGUACAUUUUUCGUGUCUUUUUUAAUGCACUUUACGUUUAACAAGUCAACAUCAGUUUCUUUUGUUGUAAAAGGGUCAUUGGAAGGUGGCUUUCUUUUCGGAGAAAGUGUUUAUAGCCUUUGGCCUCUGCAAUCGAAGAGACUGAGGUCUGCAGCGUAGACUCUUCGGGGUUAGAUGCAUUUGUGCUAAGUUAUAGCUUUUUAUAGACAACUUGUUGACUAUAAUUAGUCUUGUAGCUUACUCGCUUAUGCUAUUUUACCUACGCUUAGGAUGUUGAGUAGCGACAUACGCAC